rnacentral:rRNA from 1 species
UGGGCGUAAAGGGCUCGCAGGCGGUUUCUUAAGUCUGAUGUGAAAGCCCCCGGCUCAACCGGGGAGGGUCAUUGGAAACUGGGGAACUUGAGUGCAGAAGAGGAGAGUGGAAUUCCACGUGUAGCGGUGAAAUGCGUAGAGAUGUGGAGGAACACCAGUGGCGAAGGCGACUCUCUGGUCUGUAACUGACGCUGAGGAGCGAAAGCGUGGGGAGCGAACAGGAUUAGAUACCCUGGUAGUCCACGCCGUAAACGAUGAGUGCUAAGUGUUAGGGGGUUUCCGCCCCUUAGUGCUGCCGCUAACGCAUUAAGCACUCCCCCCGGGGAGUACGGUCGCAAGACUGAAACUCACAGGAAUUGACGGGGGCCCGCACACGCGCUGGAGCAUGUGGUUUAAUUCUAAGCAACGCGCAGAACCUUACCAGGUCUUGACAUCCUCUGAGGGG